ensembl:misc_RNA Y_RNA Y RNA
GGCUAGUCUGAAGGUAGUUGAGUUACCUCAAUUGACUGUUCAGUUAGUGCAGACAGAACUUGUUCUACUCUUUCCCCUUUCCACUACUGCAUGUGACUAGUCAUCU